rnacentral:rRNA from 1 species
GAGUUUGAUCGUGGCUCAGAUUGAACGCUGGCGGCAUGCCUUACACAUGCAAGUCGAACGGCAGCACGGGAGCUUGCUCCUGGUGGCGAGUGGCGAACGGGUGAGUAAUGCAUCGGAACGUAUCCUGGAGUGGGGGAUAACGUAGCGAAAGUUACGCUAAUACCGCAUAUUCUGUGAGCAGGAAAGCGGGGGACCUUCGGGCCUCGCGCUCUUGGAGCGGCCGAUGUCGGAUUAGCUAGUUGGUGAGGUAAAGGCUCACCAAGGCGACGAUCCGUAGCAGGUCUGAGAGGAUGAUCUGCCACACUGGAACUGAGACACGGUCCAGUCUCCUACGGGAGGCAGCAGUGGGGAAUUUUGGACAAGUGGGGGCAACCCUGAUCCAGCCAU